GUUUGAGGUUAGGUCCUCAUAUCAUCUUGACAAAACCAAGAAAUACAAAAGAAGAUUCUCAGCACUCCAGAAGGCUAAUUCCCCAAAAGGCUAAUUACGGUUCCACAGCAAGCCAUGUUUAUUCUGAGAGCCUCUUCCAAGGCCUGGCAAGGAGGAUCCCCUGAGAGGUGGUAUGCCUGGGGACUGGCCAAACACCAUGCCCACACCUGUUCUUUACCCUAAUGAGGAAAAUAUCAAGAAGCAAAGAGGAAAACAUCACCCAUAAUCCAUCCAUCAGAGCCCUUCCACUUUAGGUAAUUAUAACAAAAUUUUUUCUUCUUUUUCUCCUAUGAACACUCCUACCUCUUCCUCCUGCCCCACUGUUGAGGACUACAUGCAGGGCUUUCACACUAAACUGCAUUUCCAGCCCUUUCAUUUUUCUGUUUUGAGAUGACGUCUUGCUAAAUCGCUACAUUGCCCAGGCUGGGCUGUUGCAAUCCUCCUGCCUCAGCCUCCUAGAGUGCUGGGGUUACAUUUGAUUUUAAAACCAUGUUGAG
rnacentral:lncRNA from 1 species